GGGACACGUGGUAUCCUGUCUGAAUAUGGGGGGACCAUCCUCCAAGGCUAAAUACUCCUGACUGACCGAUAGUGAACCAGUACCGUGAGGGAAAGGCGAAAAGAACCCCGGCGAGGGGAGUGAAAAAGAACCUGAAACCGUGUACGUACAAGCAGUGGGAGCACGCUUAGGCGUGUGACUGCGUACCUUUUGUAUAAUGGGUCAGCGACUUAUAUUCUGUAGCAAGGUUAACCGAAUAGGGGAGCCGAAGGGAAACCGAGUCUUAACUGGGCGUUAAGUUGCAGGGUAUAGACCCGAAACCCGGUGAUCUAGCCAUGGGCAGGUUGAAGGUUGGGUAACACUAACUGGAGGACCGAACCGACUAAUGUUGAAAAAUUAGCGGAUGACUUGUGGCUGGGGGUGAAAGGCCAAUCAAACCGGGAGAUAGCUGGUUCUCCCCGAAAGCUAUUUAGGUAGCGCCUCGUGAAUUCAUCUCCGGGGGUAGAGCACUGUUUCGGCAAGGGGGUCAUCCCGACUUACCAACCCGAUGCAAACUGCGAAUACCGGAGAAUGUUAUCACGGGAGACACACGGCGGGUGCUAACGUCCGUCGUGAAGAGGGAAACAACCCAGACCGCCAGCUAAGGUCCCAAAGUCAUGGUUAAGUGGGAAACGAUGUGGGAAGGCCCAGACAGCCAGGAUGUUGGCUUAGAAGCAGCCAUCAUUUAAAGAAAGCGUAAUAGCUCACUGGUCGAGUCGGCCUGCGCGGAAGAUGUAACGGGGCUAAACCAUGCACCGAAGCUGCGGCAGCGACGCUGAUGCGUUGUUGGGUAGGGGAGCGUUCUGUAAGCCUGUGAAGGUGUGCUGUGAGGCAUGCUGGAGGUAUCAGAAGUGCGAAUGCUGACAUAAGUAACGAUAAAGCGGGUGAAAAGCCCGCUCGCCGGAAGACCAAGGGUUCCUGUCCAACGUUAAUCGGGGCAGGGUGAGUCGACCCCUAAGGCGAGGCCGAAAGGCGUAGUCGAUGGGAAACAGGUUAAUAUUCCUGUACUUGGUGUUACUGCGAAGGGGGGACGGAGAAGGCUAUGUUGGCCGGGCGACGGUUGUCCCGGUUUAAGCGUGUAGGCUGGUUUUCCAGGCAAAUCCGGAAAAUCAAGGCUGAGGCGUGAUGACGAGGCACUACGGUGCUGAAGCAACAAAUGCCCUGCUUCCAGGAAAAGCCUCUAAGCAUCAGGUAACAUCAAAUCGUACCCCAAACCGACACAGGUGGUCAGGUAGAGAAUACCAAGGCGCUUGAGAGAACUCGGGUGAAGGAACUAGGCAAAAUGGUGCCGUAACUUCGGGAGAAGGCACGCUGAUAUGUAGGUGAAGUCCCUCGCGGAUGGAGCUGAAAUCAGUCGAAGAUACCAGCUGGCUGCAACUGUUUAUUAAAAACACAGCACUGUGCAAACACGAAAGUGGACGUAUACGGUGUGACGCCUGCCCGGUGCCGGAAGGUUAAUUGAUGGGGUCAGCGCAAGCGAAGCUCUUGAUCGAAGCCCCGGUAAACGGCGGCCGUAACUAUAACGGUCCUAAGGUAGCGAAAUUCCUUGUCGGGUAAGUUCCGACCUGCACGAAUGGCGUAAUGAUGGCCAGGCUGUCUCCACCCGAGACUCAGUGAAAUUGAACUCGCUGUGAAGAUGCAGUGUACCCGCGGCAAGACGGAAAGACCCCGUGAACCUUUACUAUAGCUUGACACUGAACAUUGAGCCUUGAUGUGUAGGAUAGGUGGGAGGCUUAGAAGUGUGGACGCCAGUCUGCAUGGAGCCGACCUUGAAAUACCACCCUUUAAUGUUUGAUGUUCUAACGUUGACCCGUAAUCCGGGUUGCGGACAGUGUCUGGUGGGUAGUUUGACUGGGGCGGUCUCCUCCUAAAGAGUAACGGAGGAGCACGAAGGUUGGCUAAUCCUGGUCGGACAUCAGGAGGUUAGUGCAAUGGCAUAAGCCAGCUUGACUGCGAGCGUGACGGCGCGAGCAGGUGCGAAAGCAGGUCAUAGUGAUCCGGUGGUUCUGAAUGGAAGGGCCAUCGCUCAACGGAUAAAAGGUACUCCGGGGAUAACAGGCUGAUACCGCCCAAGAGUUCAUAUCGACGGCGGUGUUUGGCACCUCGAUGUCGGCUCAUCACAUCCUGGGGCUGAAGUAGGUCCCAAGGGUAUGGCUGUUCGCCAUUUAAAGUGGUACGCGAGCUGGGUUUAGAACGUCGUGAGACAGUUCGGUCCCUAUCUGCCGUGGGCGCUGGAGAACUGAGGGGGGCUGCUCCUAGUACGAGAGGACCGGAGUGGACGCAUCACUGGUGUUCGGGUUGUCAUGCCAAUGGCACUGCCCGGUAGCUAAAUGCGGAAGAGAUAAGUGCUGAAAGCAUCUAAGCACGAAACUUGCCCCGAGAUGAGUUCUCCCUGACUCCUUGAGAGUCCUGAAGGAACGUUGAAGACGACGACGUUGAUAGGCCGGGUGUGUAAGCGCAGCGAUGCGUUGAGCUAACCGGUACUAAUGAACCGUGAG
rnacentral:rRNA from 1 species